rnacentral:tRNA from 1 species
AAUCAGCAUAGUGUAUAUAACACGGUAAGUUGUAAACUUACAGAUACUUAAAGUUUUGGUUU